UACGUAGGGAGCAAGCGUUGUCCGGAAUCAUUGGGCGUAAAGCGCGCGUAGGUGGUUUCAUAAGUCCGUUGUGAAAGUCAAAGGCUCAACCUUUGAAAGCCGAUGGAUACUGUGAAGCUAGAGUACGGAAGAGGCGAGUGGAAUUCCUGGUGUAGCGGUGGAAUGCGCAGAUAUCAGGAGGAACACCAAUAGCGAAGGCAGCUCGCUGGGACGUUACUGACACUGAGGCGCGAAAGCGUGGGGAGCGAACAGG
rnacentral:rRNA from 1 species